UCUCUUCACUAUUUUCAGCAACAUCUUCUAAAGCCAAUGUUAAUCUCAAACUUGUGGCGUCGCUCCUCAUUGUUAAGAGCUACAGAGAGUUGUGCAUUUAGGACUUAGACAUAUUUUCAUCUUUUUUUCUCUCUUAGUGGUUUUCAUCUCUAUUAGGAUUUCUUACAUCUUUUUCUUCUUCCGUAAAUUUCUCCAUGAGUUCUUUAUUUCUUCUUCUUUAUUUCUUUAUUCAUUUAUUUUUGCAGAUUCUUAAGAAGUUUUCAAGCAACGGGAGCUUGUCCUAGAUCCAACCAUCAACCCUGGACUCGGUUCCACUCGAUGCCCUCGCUGUGUCUCCCUUCUCAACCCUGAUUCCUGUGUUCAGGAAAGAGGCGAGCGGACCAUCACUUCUGUGAUUAGAAUAUAUAAAUGUUGAUAUUCGUUUCGCGAUUGGAUACUUUUGGUGAAGAUUAUACAGUUGGCUGUUUUAUUUCCCAAUUUAUUCCGCUUUUGUGAUUUCCGAAAUCAGAGAAUAUCUAUUUGUUUUUUUUUUCCGGUUUCCUUUUCUUCAGUGAUUAGUUUAAAUUACUGCUGCGUUGUAUAUUGUUUCUUGUAUCAUCACUUUGACAUGGAAUGAGAAGAAUAAUUAUUUCCAAUUUCUUCUUUCUAUUUUUCUAUUGUUAAUUUUUUAUUUAAUAAUGAGAGAAAGUGUUAUUAAUAAUUUUAAUUUUUAGUAAGUUAAUAAAUGUUAUUAAAAAUUUCUGACUUAUUAGUUAUAUUGAAAAUUUGAGAGAUUAUAUUUUGAAAAUUCAGUGUUAAUUUACAGAGAUUGUUGAGGGCAACCAAAACAAGGACUUCAAAUAUACCUAUAUAUCUAAGAAGUCAUAAUAACCAUAAGAAUCUUAGAUACGUAGUGUCUUACAUACCAAAGCAUCUCCAGCAUAUCAUGUAAGAGGAAACUAAGGAAACAAAAUCAGCAAGAUUAUAAAUUAUCAAAAUUUUAUAACCGUAAGAAAGGGCAUAUGUCCACUUGUAUCAGAGACGGUAACAGCAAAGUUUCAUUCCCUGAAUAGAAACAUUCCAUGCUUGAUAAUUCAUAUAGAGUUAUCCUUACUAGCUACUCAAAUUUGAUCCCUUCUGGAGUUGUCUCAUCAUGGUGAACUAUUUUUGAAGUUGUUUUUUCUUGCUCUUUUGCCACUACUAUUUCUUUCGUUGAUCCACAUUGCUUGACUGUACAUGUUAAUUUUAAAUAAGCCAUUAUUUUAUAAUUUUAAAGCAUGGUUUCCCUCAUCAAGUAAAAGAUUUGCAUGAAACUUCAUGUUCAUGAAUUUGUAUGUUUCCUGACCCUUCAAGUAGUGGGUGGCCACAAGAGAACAUACUUUGUCAAAUUAUGUUUAAUCUGUUAAGGUUGGGUGCUUUAGAUUUUAAUUUUUUAUUGUUUACUGAUAACCAGAGUAUCAUGUUAAUGACCCUGAACAAGAACCUGUUCUGGUUGAUGCAAUCCCCACUUUGAAGUUCAACCAAGAGGCUUUCAGUUUCAUUGAAGAUACACAGGGGAUUCUCUUGACAGGACCACCGGGAACUGGAAAAACUCUGCUAGCCAAGGACUGUGGUUUAGCAAUGUUCAUAUCAGAAGAGUAAAAAAAAGUGCCAAAAGAGAUACGUGGCUUAGAAGUUGUGAUGCCCUAAACUGAGAUUCCAGAAUGGUUUAACUUUAGAGGCAAUGAAGGGCUCGUUUCUGGGCUCAUGGGAAGUCCAAGUUCCUCAUUGUUGCUUUAGCGUUGGUCUUUCAGGAUGUGAAUGAAAUGGCAAACCAAUCUCGCAGGCAACUUGUUCAGCUCCGCUUAGUUAUCAAUUUUUAACACUUGUCAUGGGACAUUUAUGCCAUAUGCGCUAAGCUUGUUAAAAAGAUAACUAUAAGUCUAAUUAGGAUUAGAAUUUCUUUUCAGUAUUUUAACAUGCUUGUAAAAUAGUUGCAUCUGCUUGUUAAAAAGAUUUUAGCCUCAGAUCAUGACAAGCUUCUGAAAAAAGUUAUCAAAGAAUAUUCUAUGAUCAU